rnacentral:rRNA from 1 species
AGCCCAGACUCCUACGGGAGGCAGCAGUGAGGAAUAUUGGUCAAUGGGCUUACGCCUGAACCAGCCAAGUCGCGUGAGGGAAGACUGCCCUAUGGGUUGUAAACCUCUUUUGUCAGGGAGCAAUUGGCGCUACGUGUAGCGUUAUCGAGAGUACCUGAAGAAAAAGCAUCGGCUAACUCCGUGCCAGCAGCCGCGGUAAUACGGAGGAUGCGAGCGUUAUCCGGAUUUAUUGGGUUUAAAGGGUGCGUAGGCGGAAUGCCAAGUCAGGGGUAAAAUCGCGGGGCUCAACCGCGCUCCGCCGUUGAAACUGGCGUUCUUGAGUGGGCGAGAAGUAUGCGGAAUGCGUGGUGUAGCGGUGAAAUGCAUAGAUAUCACGAAGAACCCCGAUUGCGAAGGCAGCCUGCCGCAGCGUUACUGACGCUGAAGCUCGAAAGCGCGGGUAUCGAACAGGAUUAGAUACCCCUGUA